rnacentral:lncRNA from 1 species
AUGUGCAAGUGUGAUAUAUGGUGGACUAGGUUGCUCCUUUAUUUGAUAGACUCUCUAUGUAUUGAGACAUGGCUAGCUUUUUUUUUAUAUAUAUAUAUGAGCUUUCAUGUGCUCAAUUUUCUUUUUCUGUGGACUUGCACAUGUCCAUCUUUUUAUUUCAUUUUGCCUAGCCUUUUGAUGUCUCAUUUACCAAAUAAUGCUUAGAGAGAUGUUCUAACAUUUAGAGUAUGGAGCAACCUAUUUAGUGGAUGCGAAAUACAUGUGGUUGCGUACUUCCAGUGUAGAAGCAGCAUAUAUAUAUGUGGUGUGUACGUGAUCUUGAUCUUAGGAGCAUGAAAAGUCUCUUAACAAGGGUCAACAAGACUUGACGACACUCAACCCAAAGCAAAUAGCUUAUGUGGAAAGGUUGCAAUUAUGUAAAGUAGAUAUGGCUGUGGUAGGAAUUCACCACCAUUGAGGAACAAUUAAGGUUUUGAUCAUUUUAAGAAUAAAUCUCUGAUAAUCAUGCAUGCUUACAAAAAUAUUAUAGUAGCUCUUGUCUUACUAUCUCAUGUUCCACAACAACUUAGACUUAGUUCUAGCACUUGCAACCCACAAAGUUUUUAGGUUCAUGGCAGUUCAAGUGAGCUAAGUGAUCCAUACUU